rnacentral:rRNA from 1 species
AAUUUAAAUUCAACAUUUAAUUAUGAAGAGUUUGAUUCUGGCUCAGAGUGAACGCUGGCGGCAUGCCUAACACAUGCAAGUCGAACGAGAACGGAAAUAGCUUGCUAUUUUGUCAGCUAAGUGGCGCACGGGUGAGUAAUAUAUAGUUAACUUGCCUUCUAGCAGGGGAUAACGCCGAGAAAUUGGUGCUAAUACCCUAUAUUCCUUUCUGUUUAAUGCAGUUUGGGAAAGAUUUAUCACUAGAAGAUAGGACUAUAUCCCAUCAGCUUGUUGGUAGUGUAAGAGACUACCAAGGCUAUGACGGGUAGCUGGUUUGAGAGGAUGAUCAGCCACACUGGAACUGAGACACGGUCCAGACUCCUACGGGAGGCAGCAGUGGGGAAUAUUGCACAAUGGAGGAAACUCUGAUGCAGCAAUGCCGCGUGAAGGAUGACGGUUUUCGGAUUGUAAACUUCUUUUAUAUACCAAGAUAAUGACGGUAGUAUAUGAAUAAGCACCGGCUAACUCCGUGCCAGCAGCCGCGGUAAUACGGAGGGUGCAAGCGUUACUCGGAAUCACUGGGCGUAAAGGGUACGUAGGUGUUCUAAUAAGUUGGAUGUGAAAUCCUAUGGCUUAACCAUAGAAGUGCAUUCAAAACUGUUAGAAUAGAGUUUGGGAGGGGUAAGUGGAAUUAGUGGUGUAGGGGUAAAAUCCGUAGAUAUCACUAGGAAUACCAAAAGCGAAGGCGACUUACUGGAACAAUACUGACACUGAGGUACGAAAGCGUGGGGAGCAAACAGGAUUAGAUACCCUGGUAGUCCACGCCCUAAACGAUGAAUGCUAAUCGUUGUGAGGCUUUGACCUUGCAGUGAUGCAGUUAACACAUUAAGCAUUCCGCCUGGGGAGUACGGUCGCAAGAUUAAAACUCAAAGAAAUAGACGGGGACCCGCACAAGCGGUGGAGCAUGUGGUUUAAUUCGACUAUACGCGAAGAACCUUACCUAGCCUUGACAUUGAUAGAAUCUUAUAGAAAUAUAGGAGUGCCUUUCGGGGAACUUGAAAACAGGUGCUGCACGGCUGUCGUCAGCUCGUGUCGUGAGAUGUUGGGUUAAGUCCCGCAACGAGCGCAACCCUUAUCUUUAGUUACUAACGGUUCGGCCGAGGACUCUAAAGAGACUGCCCUCGCAAGGGGGAGGAAGGUGAGGACGACGUCAAGUCAUCAUGGCCCUUACGGCUAGGGCUACACACGUGCUACAAUGGGGUGUUACAAUGAGAUGCAAUGUCGCGAGGCGGAGCAAAACUAUAAAGCACCUCCCAGUUCGGAUUGGAGUCUGCAACUCGACUCCAUGAAGUUGGAAUCGCUAGUAAUCGCGAAUCAGCCAUGUCGCGGUGAAUACGUUCCCGGGUCUUGUACUCACCGCCCGUCACACCAUGGGAGUUGAAUUCACCUGAAGUCGGAAUACUAAAUUAGUUACCGCCCACGGUGGGUUCAGCGACUGGGGUGAAGUCGAAACAAGGUAACCGUAGGAGAACCUGCGGUUGGAUCACCUCCA